GGAGACAGUUGGAUGUGAGUCUGCAGCUCAAAAGAGAAGUAAAGCCUGGAGAUUUCUAAAGAAUCACAAAAAGGUGGCAGCUGAAGCCAUGCCAGUGAAUGAGCUUACUAGAGGAAAGCGGGUAAGGAAAGAAGAGAAAGCUGAGGGAAAGUCAGGGAGUACAGUAGAUAGGAGUGCCUGGCCAGGAGUUUGGAAAACCCUGAAUCCAAAUUCAGCCACAGACAUUUACUAGCUAUGUAUGACCUUAGGGAGUCACUUAACUUGUACCUCAGUUUCUUCAACUCUAAAAUGGGGAUAAUCACAACAUCUACUUCCUGGGAUCAAGAGAGAAAAUUUGGCACACAGUAAGCACUUCCAUAAACCUUUCCUGACUUCUACAGACAGGCUUCAGAGGAAACAUUGAAAAAUCAGGAAGAGGAAGUGGAACCAAGUGAAGGGAAAGGAAGUCGUCAGAGCAGGGUAGGAGGAGGGAACUAGGAGACCAGAAGUUUUCAAGGGGAACAGAAACCAAGAAGAGGGUGUGGUCCACAAUGUUAAAAGCUGCCAGCAGGAAGAGGGCUGGCCACAGGCCUUUGGGUGUGGUAAACAGGUCACAUGGCAGUCUCAUCCAAUGCCAGUCCCCAGAGUCUAAUAAAAAGGGGUGUCAAAUUUAGAAGUUUGGGGUGCGUCCAACAGGCAGCCACUAGGACCAGUAUGAUCUCGGAGGGGUCACCCAACCAAAGCACUUCCAGUAGAGCCUGUAGGCUCAAUUCAACCAAUCUUUCAGGAGAGCCCAUUCUGUUCAGGCACAUGUGCUAAGUGCUUCAGAUGUCUUCCUCUGAGCAUAUCGCGUCUCCAGUAGCUUGCUGGCAUUUACCAGGGAGAUAAAGAGCCGCGAAGGUCUUAAAAGGAGCCAGAAGGUAGCCAAAAUGUCUUAAGAGACAAAGGGUGGAGAAAUGGGACCAUGGGGCCAAAUGCGAAUCCAGCCCCAUUGGACCUAAGGUACAUCCCUGAGGCAUGGGGCGGGGCUUCCAGAGCAAAGGCAAAGGUUGAACCGUGUGCUUCCAGGAGCAAAGUGACCUAGAGCACGCCAGUGAAUUCCGAAAAGGCUUUGGUUUGGGCCGCCCCCCCCCCCCCCCGAAACAGGAAAUACUGGCCUGGUUCCUUGGGCAGAGCCUACUUUUCAUAGACCACACUGCAUUUGAAGCUUGGAUUUGUGUCAACUAUCUGGAGAUGAGGCUGAUUUAGGACAGGCAUGGCCCCACCCAUUUACAGAAAGCAUUGAGCCAUCACAUGCCUGAGAUCACAAACAUCAGAGUUGGAAUCAUACAGAAACAGGAAAACCGAGGCCCGUAGAACUGAACUACCUUGCUCAACAAUACAAAACUAGCAAAUGGGAAAGCUGGGACCCAAAUGUAGGGUCCUUUUCACUAUUCCCUCCUGUCUCCCUGGGGACGGGCCUGGAGACAAAGAAAACCCAGCUUGCCAAGUUCAAAUGUGGCUAUCCACCUAGGUCACUUCACGCUACUGGCCCGUUUCUUCGUCCGCAAAAUGAAUUGGAGGAAACAGCAAACCACUUCACUAUCUUUGCCAAAGAAAAUCAAAUGGGGUCACCGAGUCAGACACAAAUCAACAACUGCCUCCCUAAGAAGUGCUUUCUUUAAGGGUUGGCUUUCAGAAGGGAGAUGGCAUCUUUGAGCCAGCUCAACUCUGCCUCCCCCUUCCCUUCCCCUUCCUCUCCUUCCC
rnacentral:lncRNA from 1 species